UGUUUGCACUUAGCGGGAAGGGUAAGAACCUUCGACUAAGGUUCGACUCGAGCGUCAGCGAGAGAACGUUGCCGCAGGCAACGGCCCGAAGGGCAAGGAGCGAUAGCGACGAGUUAUCCUUCCCCCACCACCA
rnacentral:sRNA from 1 species